AGUGAGCGCUGGCGGUAGGCCUAACACAUGCAAGUCGAACGGCAGCACAGUAAGAGCUUGCUCUUACGGGUGGCGAGUGGCGGACGGGUGAGGAAUACAUCGGAAUCUACUUUUUCGUGGGGGAUAACGUAGGGAAACUUACGCUAAUACCGCAUACGACCUACGGGUGAAAGCAGGGGAUCUUCGGACCUUGCGCGAUUGAAUGAGCCGAUGUCGGAUUAGCUAGUUGGCGGGGUAAAGGCCCACCAAGGCGACGAUCCGUAGCUGGUCUGAGAGGAUGAUCAGCCACACUGGAACAGAGACACGGUCCAGACUCCUACGGGAGGCAGCAGUGGGGAAUAUUGGACAAUGGGCGCAAGCCUGAUCCAGCCAUACCGCGUGGGUGAAGAAGGCCUUCGGGUUGUAAAGCCCUUUUGUUGGGAAAGAAAAGCAGCAGGUUAAUACCCCGCUGUUCUGACGGUACCCAAAGAAUAAGCACCGGCUAACUUCGUG
rnacentral:rRNA from 1 species